rnacentral:rRNA from 1 species
GACGAACGCUGGCGGCGUGCUUAACACAUGCAAGUCGAACGAAGAGCGAUGGAAGCUUGCUUCUAUCAAUCUUAGUGGCGAACGGGUGAGUAACGCGUAAUCAACCUGCCCUUCAGAGGGGGACAACAGUUGGAAACGACUGCUAAUACCGCAUACGAUCUAAUCUCGGCAUCGAGGAUAGAUGAAAGGUGGCCUCUAUUUAUAAGCUAUCACUGAAGGAGGGGAUUGCGUCUGAUUAGCUAGUUGGAGGGGUAACGGCCCACCAAGGCGAUGAUCAGUAGCCGGUUUGAGAGGAUGAACGGCCACAUUGGGACUGAGACACGGCCCAGGCUCCUACGGGAGGCAGCAGUGGGGAAUCUUCCGCGAUGGACGAAAGUCUGACGGAGCAACGCCGCGUGAGUGAUGACGGCCUUCGGGUUGUAAAGCUCUGUUAAUCGGGACGAGAGGCCUUCUUGCGAAUAGUUAGAAGGAUGACGGUACC